rnacentral:rRNA from 1 species
ACGAACGCUGGCGGCGUGCUUAACACAUGCAAGUCGAACGGAAAGGCCCUGCUUUUGUGGGGUGCUCGCGUGGCGAACGGGUGAGUAACACGUGAGUAACCUGCCCUUGACUUUGGGAUAACUUCAGGAAACUGGGGCUAAUACCGGAUAGGAGCUCCUGCUGCAUGGUGGGGGUUGGAAAGUUUCGGCGGUUGGGGAUGGACUCGCGGCUUAUCAGCUUGUUGGUGGGGUAGUGGCUUACCAAGGCUUUGACGGGUAGCCGGCCUGAGAGGGUGACCGGCCACAUUGGGACUGAGAUACGGCCCAGACUCCUACGGGAGGCAGCAGUGGGGAAUAUUGCACAAUGGGCGGAAGCCUGAUGCAGCAACGCCGUGUGCGGGAUGACGGCCUUCGGGUUGUAAACCGCUUUCGCCUGUGACGAAGCGUGAGUGACGGUAAUGGGUAAAGAAGCACCGGCUAACUACGUG